rnacentral:rRNA from 1 species
UACGUAGGGGGAAAGCGUUUGUCCGGAUUUAUUGGGCGUAAAGAGCGUGUAGGCGGCCUGAAAGGUCAGCUGUGAAAACUCGAGGCUCAACCUCGAGACGUCGGUUGAAACCAUCUGGCUAGAGUCCGGAAGAGGAGUGUGGAAUUCCCGGUGUAGCGGUGAAAUGCGCAGAUAUCAGGAGGAACACCAAUGGCGAAGGCAGCUCGCUGGGACGGUACUGACGCUGAGACGCGAAAGCGUGGGGAGCAAACAGG